rnacentral:rRNA from 1 species
GUUUGAUCCUGGCUCAGAGCGAACGUUAGCGGCAGGCUUAACACAUUCAAGUCGAGCGAGAAAGGGGCUUCGGCUCCGAGUAAAGCGGCGGACGGGUGCGUAACACGUGGAUAAUCUGCCUCGUGGCGGGGGACAACAGUCCGAAAGGACUGCUAAUACCGCAUGUCAGGUCGGAAACUCCGGUUUCUGACGAAAAGAGGGCGUCCGCAAGGAGCUCUCACCACGAGAUGAGUCCGCGUCCCAUCAGCUAGUUGGCGGUGUAAUGGACCACCAAGGCUUAGACGGGUAGCUGGUCUGAGAGGAUGACCAGCCACACUGGGACUGAGACACGGCCCAGACUCCUACGGGAGGCAGCAGUGGGGAAUAUUGGACAAUGGGCGAAAGCCUGAUCCAGCCAUGCCG